rnacentral:rRNA from 1 species
UGCAGUCGAGCGGUAGCACAGAGAGCUUGCUCUCGGGUGACGAGCGGCGGACGGGUGAGUAAUGUCUGGGAAACUGCCUGAUGGAGGGGGAUAACUACUGGAAACGGUAGCUAAUACCGCAUAACGUCGCAAGACCAAAGUGGGGGACCUUCGGGCCUCAUGCCAUCAGAUGUGCCCAGAUGGGAUUAGCUAGUAGGUGGGGUAAUGGCUCACCUAGGCGACGAUCCCUAGCUGGUCUGAGAGGAUGACCAGCCACACUGGAACUGAGACACGGUCCAGACUCCUACGGGAGGCAGCAGUGGGGAAUAUUGCACAAUGGGCGCAAGCCUGAUGCAGCCAUGCCGCGUGUAUGAAGAAGGCCUUCGGGUUGUAAAGUACUUUCAGCGAGGAGGAAGGCGUUAAGGUUAAUAACCUUGGUGAUUGACGUUACUCGCAGAAGAAGCACCGGCUAACUCCGUGCCAGCAGCCGCGGUAAUACGGAGGGUGCAAGCGUUAAUCGGAAUUACUGGGCGUAAAGCGCACGCAGGCGGUCUGUCAAGUCGGAUGUGAAAUCCCCGGGCUCAACCUGGGAACUGCAUUCGAAACUGGCAGGCUAGAGUCUUGUAGAGGGGGGUAGAAUUCCAGGUGUAGCGGUGAAAUGCGUAGAGAUCUGGAGGAAUACCGGUGGCGAAGGCGGCCCCCUGGACAAAGACUGACGCUCAGGUGCGAAAGCGUGGGGAGCAAACAGGAUUAGAUACCCUGGUAGUCCACGCCGUAAACGAUGUCGACUUGGAGGUUGUGCCCUUGAGGCGUGGCUUCCGGAGCUAACGCGUUAAGUCGACCGCCUGGGGAGUACGGCCGCAAGGUUAAAACUCAAAUGAAUUGACGGGGGCCCGCACAAGCGGUGGAGCAUGUGGUUUAAUUCGAUGCAACGCGAAGAACCUUACCUACUCUUGACAUCCAGAGAACUUAGCAGAGAUGCUUUGGUGCCUUCGGGAACUCUGAGACAGGUGCUGCAUGGCUGUCGUCAGCUCGUGUUGUGAAAUGUUGGGUUAAGUCCCGCAACGAGCGCAACCCUUAUCCUUUGUUGCCAGCGGUUCGGCCGGGAACUCAAAGGAGACUGCCAGUGAUAAACUGGAGGAAGGUGGGGAUGACGUCAAGUCAUCAUGGCCCUUACGAGUAGGGCUACACACGUGCUACAAUGGCAUAUACAAAGAGAAGCGACCUCGCGAGAGCAAGCGGACCUCAUAAAGUAUGUCGUAGUCCGGAUUGGAGUCUGCAACUCGACUCCAUGAAGUCGGAAUCGCUAGUAAUCGUAGAUCAGAAUGCUACGGUGAAUACGUUCCCGGGCCUUGUACACACCGCCCGUCACACCAUGGGAGUGGGUUGCAAAAGAAGUAGGUAGCUUAACCUUC